AAGCUCGUAGUUGAAUUUCGGGAUCAGACUGUCGGUCGUGCCUCGGUACGCACUGGCAUUAUUGGUUCCUACCUUCUGAAGAACCGCGAUGUCAUUAAUUUGGUGUCGUGGGGAAUCAGGACUGUUACUUUGAAAAAAUUAGAGUGUUUAAAGCAAGCUAACGCUUGAAUACAUUAGCAUGGAAUAAUGAAAUAGGACGUUCGAUCUUAUUUUGUUUGGUUUCUUAGGAUUGACGUAAUGAUUAAUAGGGAUAGUUGGG
rnacentral:rRNA from 1 species